GAUGAACGCUGGCGGCGUGCCUAAUACAUGCAAGUCGAGCGAACGGACGAGAAGCUUGCUUCUCUGAUGUUAGCGGCGGACGGGUGAGUAACACGUGGAUAACCUACCUCUAAGACUGGGUUACCUUCGGGAAACCAGAGCUAAUACCGGAUAAUAUUUUGAACCGCAUGGUCCAACAGUGAACAACGGUAUUGUGGUAACUUUUCGACGGUACCGCGUGGCAUUAGCUAGUUGGGAAGGUAACGGCUUACCAAGGCAACGAUGCAUAGCCGACCUGAGAGGGUGGUCGGCCACACUGGAACUGAGACACGGUCCAGACUCCGACGGGAGGCAGCAGUAGGUAAUCUUCCGCAAUGGGCGAAAGCCUGACGGAGCAACGCCGCGUGAGUGAUGAAGGUCUUCGGAUCGUAAAACUCUGUUAUUAGGGAAGAACAUAUGUGUAAGUAACUGUGCACAUCUUGACGGUACCUAAUCAGAAAGCCACGGCUAACUACGUG
rnacentral:rRNA from 1 species